UUCUCGAAGACUGCACUAGUCGUAGCUCACUUGUGACACUUUUUAUGGCUGUGCUAUUUUUGCCUCAUUUUAGGUCGGGUUUCCACUACAACAUAGCACUGGAGGGAAGUGCGAAAACCACGCUACUAGACAAGCUAACAACAAUGCGGAAGAAAAAUUCAUUUGAGAUGGGACUGCCGCUGCAGCAAAGUGGAGACUGUCACUGUGGAGUAUCAUUCAGCAUAAUCCACAUCAACAAGUUGCUGCCUGCUGCUGUGAGCCACCGCUUCCUCUAGAACAUUAUCCAAGUCACUGGUCUGUAAAAACAAGCUGUAAUGAAUCUGCAAUCAACACACCUGCCCUUGAAGAGAGACCUGCCUUCAUAAGCCAGCGCGUCCUGAGAUCCCGUGCCAGAACGUAGCUGCUCGUACACGUACAGUAAGCCACUUCCUGUCGCCCUUCCUCGUUGGUGAGCUGUGUGUCUCGUCUCCCUGGAUCCCCUCUGGACUUCCUCUUGCCUCUCUGGACUUCGACCUCACGCCUGCCCAAUGACCACGAUGCCUCGCUCCAGUCCUUGACCUUCUGCCUGUUUUUUGACUCCCGAGGCUGCCUUGCCCCCUUUGGACUUCCGCCUCGAUCUCAACACGCACCUUCAACACCUGCAGGUGUCUUGACGCCAAUGUCUCAUGGGAGUCGACGGCAGCUAUGGACGGCACAAGCUCAGCUUUUCUCCGGUAAGAAGCGACUUUUUAACCACAAUUUUCUCACCGAAACCUGCUGGUUGACAAGUGGUCGGGAACCAUGUUCGCUUGACCGCUCUGAUCCAUAGUAAAGUUUCACCUCUGGGAAUUUUAAACAAGGAAUCACUGUGUGUUUGUGUGGCUAAAGACUAAAGCUUCCCAACUCCAUCUUUCUACUUUCACUUCUCCAUUAUUAAUUGAACAAAUUGCAAAAGAUUCAGCAACACAGAUCUCCAAAAUACUGUGUAAUUAUGCGGUUAAAGCAGACGACUUUUAGCUGUGUGUGUGCGCAGCGCUCAUACUUCCUAAAAACCUGUGACGUCUUGCGUACACGUCAUCAUUACACAACGUUUUCAAGACGAAACUCCCCGGAAAUUUAAAAUUGCAGUUUAGAAAACUAAAAAGGCCGUAUUGGCAUGUGUUGCAAUGUUAAUAUUUCCUCAUUGAUAUAUAAACUAUCAGACUGGGUAGUAGUGGGUUUCAGUAGGCCUUUAAAGCUUCUGUGAAAGGAUUGCAGUCUACCUUGUCUGUAUGCACAUGUGUAAUAUAAACAAGGUUUAAUGUUCUAAAUAUGAUGUUUUAUGUGUUGUUUACUGUUUUUUAUUGUAACCUUGCUGCUGCCCUCUUGGCCAGGUCUCCCUUGGAAAAGAGAUCUUUGAUCUCAAUGGGAUUAUUACCUGGUUAAAUAAAGGCUAAAUAAAUAAAAAAUAUAU